rnacentral:rRNA from 1 species
GGCCUUUUGAAUUUAAUAUAAGGUCUGACCUGCCCAGUGAUAAUUUUAACGGCCGCGGUAUACUGACCGUGCAAAGGUAGCAUAAUCAUUAGUCUUUUAAUAGAGGGCUGGAAUGAAAGGUUUAACGAAGAACUGACUGUCUCAUUUUAUUUGUUUUAAAAUUUAAUUUUUUAGUUAAAAAGCUAAAAUUUUAUUGGUAGACGAGAAGACCCUAUAGAGCUUUACAUAAAGUUAAUUUGAUAUUUUUAUAUUAAUAUUUCUAAUUAAUUUUGUGUUUUGUUGGGGUGACAAAAAUAUAUAAUUAACUAUUUUAUUUAGUUAACAUUGAUUUAUGAGUAUUAGAUCCAUUAUUAUUGAUUAUUAGAUUAAGUUACCUUAGGGAUAACAGCGUAAUCUUCCUCCAGAGUUCAUAUUUACAGGAUGGGCUUGCGACCUCGAUGUUGGAUUAAGAUAAUAAUUGGGUGUAGCAACUUAAUUAAUAGGUCUGUUCGACCUUUAAAUUCUU